UCGAGACCGCGAGACAUGGUUGAUGCGCGACGUGCGCCCUCACUUCACCGACGAGAAUGCCGUCGGGGUCAGCAACUGGCUGGCGAUGUUCUCGACGAUCUGGCCGUUCUUCUCGGUUUCCGCGCGCGUGGAUAUCCAGGUCGGGUCGGCCUGAAACGCGGCCCAUUUCUGCCCGCGCUCCGCUAGCGAGUCCCAAGCCAGGAAA
rnacentral:misc_RNA from 1 species